UUUAAACCAUUUGACUCAUAUUUCUGAAAAGCUGAUUCGGAGUCGUGGUGUCCAGUGGAAUCCCACAUUUCAACUAAAAUCCAUGACUCAACUGGAUUAACCUCAAUAGGUUAAUCCAGGAUCGAGUCACGGUUUCUAGGGUUGUUAUAAAAAGCCUAGAUUCACGGUGAAUCAAAAUUUUUGGAGUCGUGCGAUUUUUACGGUGAAGGUCGAUCGCAGUUUACCUGAAACAGAUAAAGGGAGACGCUCGCAGCUGAGAAGAAUUUGAAAGCCGAGUUGAUUGAAGGUUGUAAACUUUAUAUCUAGGGUUUACCCUCUUUUCAAAUCAGACGCUUGAAUCCGAGGUUUGAAUCUGCAAAACCGAGUUGAUUGGAGACCAUCGAGAUCACUUCUUUACUGAGCUCAGAAUUCUAAUUGAUAAAAGGAGUAGUGAUCAUGGCACUCAUGAGGUCAACCAAAAGGCCUAUAGUUGAUGAUCCCAUCACUAUUUGAUCAAGGUGGGAAAAAAAAUCUUAGAGCUUAUUCGAGAUUCAGGCAACUAGACGUCUGGUUCAGAGCAGGGCAGGUGGCAAUCAGAACUUACCCAAGUAGCAAUAGAGUUGAUUGAGUUUUGAUGUGAUGGAACCAAUAGGAGAUUCUAAUAGUAGGUCACGGGACAUUGUUUCAUGGCCUAGUGCCGUUUCUCAUUACAUGUUGGAGUGUAUAUUGAAGCAGUACAAGAGUGGUAAGAGUGGAGAUAAUGGACUGAAAAAAGAGCAGUUCAUUGAAAUUGCCAACCAACUGAAAGAAAUUAUUUACUAGUUACGACUGUGAACAAGUGAGAAACCACUUCUGGAUUUGGAAGCAAAGGCUUAGAGCAUUGGGUGACCUACAGAAGCAAAGUGGAUUGGGUUGGAAUGCAUCUGAUAUGAGAUUUGAUGCUCUUCAACACUUCUGGAAUGACUAUAGGAAAAAAGAACAAAAGUAUUGGAAGGAACAUAGUGUGCUCCCAAUUCACCUUGAAGUUGGAGCUUUGCUAAGGAAAGAGAUGGCAACUGGGAAUGAUUCAACAAUCCCCUCUGAAACUGCCACUGCAGUUAUGAUGGACGUGAUAGGUACUCAGGUUGAGGGAAUAGGGAACAAUGAUGGUGUUGAAUAUGAACCUAUUGAAGAAAAGAGGAAGAAGGGCGCAGCUGAAAAGGUGGUAAGUCCAUUGAAAUCGAUUGCUAACUCAAUCGAAAAGAUGUUAAUGAGUGAAUCUUAGUCUGAAUUUGGGAGAGCAAUUAUAGAAGUUGUUGAUGCCAUUCCAGACCUCAAUUUUCAACAAAAGUUUAAAGCCAAGGAAUAUUUCAUGGCCAAGAAGAAUUCUGCCAUUAUCUUAUUGGAAACAAGAGUAGAAGAUAGGCGAAAUCUACUUGAGAUGUACUUGCCAGAGAUUGAGAAGAAUUGAGGUGACAAUAGGAACUGUGAAGAAUUCGAAGACAAUGGUUUUUGGAAUAGAAAUUUGAUGUGUUUGGUUGAUGUAACUUGAUAUUAUGUUAAGUCUGUGACAGUAUUUUCUAUGCAUAUUUCAUCUCUUGAAAAUGUUUGUGUUAACUUACAGAUGACAUCGAAUGUAUCCGCUUAUGCUAUUGCGAAGUGUGAUUACUGUGGUAAAGAUUGUUCAAUUUUCACUUCUAAGUCAGGGUCACAUGUUGGAAGAAAAUUUUUUAAAUGUUCAUUGAAUUGCCCCUUCUUCAUGUGGGUUAACCAUCUUAAGAUGUGUGAGUGUGGGAACGGUCAAUGUAAGGUCAGAAUUGCGAAGACAAGUGCAAAUUAUGAUCGAUAUUUUUGGUGUUGUCCACAAUCAACUGGGGUUGAAAACAAAGGUUGUGGAAUGUUCGAAUGGAUAUCAAAUUCAAGCCCAAGUUGUCAUACUUACUAGACUCCACCUAGGUCACUAUGCUCGGAAACCUCAACUUCAUCAUCUCCUUCCCCUUCAUCAGACUAUAUCAAAGGAUACUUGAACGGUGCAAUAAAAGAAUCGGAGGGUCAUACGAGGAUAUUGAGAGAUGUUCUUGACACACUCAAGAAGCUUGAUUUAAAAAAAAAUGUAGGAUGAACUUUUUUGGAAUUUUUUGGAAAACAAAAAGGCCGAAGCCAUUGUAAUGAUAAACGUUUCAUUAUCCUUUUUUUUUAUAUAUAGAAAGACUUAAUUAUCAUUUAAUAGUACUUGGAUGAACUCAAUACUAUAUUAUACCUUUAUAUGCUUCUUCUCUCAUUUGGUCC